GACGAACGCUGGCGGCGUGCCUAAUACAUGCAAGUUGAGCGCUGAAGGUUGGUACUUGUACCAACUGGAUGAGCAGCGAACGGGUGAGUAACGCGUGGGGAAUCUGCCUUUGAGCGGGGGACAACAUUUGGAAACGAAUGCUAAUACCGCAUAAAAACUUUAAACACAAGUUUUAAGUUUGAAAGAUGCAAUUGCAUCACUCAAAGAUGAUCCCGCGUUGUAUUAGCUAGUUGGUGAGGUAAAGGCUCGCCAAGGCGAUGAUACAUAGCCGACCUGAGAGGGUGAUCGGCCACAUUGGGACUGAGACACGGCCCAAACUCCUACGGGAGGCAGCAGUAGGGAAUCUUCGGCAAUGGACGAAAGUCUGACCGAGCAACGCUGCGUGAGGGAAGAAGGUUUUCGGAUCGUAAAACUCUGUUGGUAGAGAAGAACGUUGGUGAGAGUGGAAAGCUCAUCAAGUGACGGUAACUACCCAGAAAGGGACGGCUAACUACGUG
rnacentral:rRNA from 1 species